AAUUUUCAGGCUGGUUCUCGACUUACUUCCUAUUUUUCAGCGGAGACAGCAGGGAGUUCAACUGCUUUGCUUUUUUGGUAAUGCUUGCCGUCUUUGAUGCCUCUUAAGAAAGUUACAAUACAUCAGUUUUACUCCGUCCUUGCAACUCUAAGGAUAAUCACAACGCUGGAUAAUUGAAGAAUGCCAAAGAAUGCCCGAAAGACAGUCGCGUUGCCUUUCGUCGGUUAUACAACCUCUCAUUGUGUCGAAUCUGUCAAGCUAUGGAAAGUGCUCAAAAGAAUGGAAAUCCCAGGCCUUUGUUUCUGAUGAGAAACUUCUAUGCAGGACUAAAAGAAAUUGGAGAUGAAAAUACUAUGAAAGAAAACAGCGGAGGCCUCCGUAUAAGAAAUGAGUGCUCUGAUUCCUCCCCCUCCCCAUUUGACUCCAGCCUCCUGCUGCACCUGGCUCUGAGAUUCUGGUCCAGAUGGCCUCGGACACUUCAGCCAUUUAAAUUAGCCCCCCCAAAGGCACACUGGAAGGAGCAGGUGAAAAAAGAAUCAGGAUAUCCUGCUGCUCUCUAUUCAAGCAGACGCAAAGUGUUCCAACUUUAGUUGUUUUGUAGUCCAAUGUCAGUGCUCCCCCUUUUAUUGACUGGAGGCUCAUAGAAUGGCUCGGCACGCUUUCUGCCAUCUAAGUUAAUGGCAUGGGAACUGGCAUGUACCUUCUUCCCAAUAAUUCAUUUGUUGAAGAAAGAAAUCUUCCAUAGGCACAACAUUUAAAUAAGCAUUUAAUAUUUAAUUGCUACUAAUAUUGCCUUCAAUUAAAAAUUAUUUUCUAAUUCCUUGCAGAUAUAUCAAAGUACAAUAUUAAUUUUAUACAAACAAGCAGGUAGCAAACCUUAUUUCACAUUUUACAUUCUUCAAAAAUACAACUUUGUUUAUUCUUCUGGUGUUUUGGAAAGCUCUUCCUUUGGAAGUACUGUACCUAUAGUGAGCAUCUUCACAUCACUCAAUGCACAGAUAUUUGAUCCCAGGUUUCAAAGUUAAACUAAAUGUGCUUAAACACAGUAUAGGUACUCCUGAGAGAAACAGGUUACUUCAAAUUCUCCCCACUAUGUCCUCUGAGGUUGUGGAGUUUAGCCAUAGCAAUACUGAGGCAGGGUUCCCACAACACGCAUAACCUAAUCUUUCAAUUCACCCAAUUCACAGACCACCUCAAAUCAUGAAUUAACACAAUGGGCUGACCAAUUACCAAACUAAGACUAACCAAACUGUAGCAGUUGUGCAUUGCAGUAGUUAAGCCUUUCAUAAACUGGCUAAACCUUUCAUGAAACCCAGUCAGAAUCUGAUCAUGAAGAUUUAGAUUACAGUCCAAAAGUGAACAGGACCCAGGAAGGCACUUUCAAAAAUUAUCUGAGAACCUUUGGAGUCUCCAGGCUCCUUAAUCUAGGAAGCAAUCAACCAUUCUUUGUGGGAAACUGCUUGCUGAAAAAAAGGAAGGAAACCACUUCUCUUCAACUAAAGGGUUUUCUCUCCCUCCAUCUUGCACAAGUUGGAUGUUUUUCUGCCCGACAGGAAAAGGUGCAUAUGAAAGACUGUUUUCUGAUAUUCAGUAGAGUCUCACAUUUAGCUCCACUCCUAACCCUGACUGUGGCUAGAUAGAAUGGUACUUUGCUUUUUGCCCACAUGAUCUAAGCCAGUAUCUUACUAUUUGGAAAGAAAUAACACUGCAAAAUGAAAGAAAAAACUUCAAAUUACAUAUUUUAAAAUAAGAACAACAACAAUAAUCAUUCUUCCCUGGACUUUACUGAUGAAGACUGUAUGUAGGAAGAAAAACUAAAACACCCAAGUGAUAAGGAAAAUAUAAUGCAUUUACUUGAAAGUGUCCACUGCAUAGAAACUGGGUUUGGCCGGCGUGCACACUAUUGAAAACACAGUGUGGAUAACAUACCAUUUUCACCCAUUUUCACCAACACACACACAGACAAACCAUACAUAAAUAUAUCCAGUUUCCAUGGCAUUUUUCAGUGCAGAACAGACUCCAAAGCUU